GUGAGGAAUAUUGGUCAAUGGGCGAGAGCCUGAACCAGCCAAGUCGCGUGAAGGAUGAAGGUUUUAUGAAUUGUAAACUUCUUUUGCAGGGGAAUAAAGUACGGUACGUGUACCGUUUUGUAUGUACUCUGCGAAUAAGGAUCGGCUAACUCCGUGCCAGCAGCCGCGGUAAUACGGAGGAUGCAAGCGUUAUCCGGAUUUAUUGGGUUUAAAGGGUGCGUAGGUGGAUUGAUAAGUCAGCGGUGAAAGUUUGCAGCUUAACUGUAAAAUUGCCGUUGAAACUGUCGGUCUUGAGUGCAAAUGAGGUAGGCGGAAUGUGUUGUGUAGCGGUGAAAUGCUUAGAUAUAACACAGAACUCCGAUUGCGAAGGCAGCUUACUGGGAUGCAACUGACACUGAUGCACGAAAGCGUGGGUAUCAAACAGGAUUAGAUACCCUUGUAGUCC
rnacentral:rRNA from 1 species